rnacentral:lncRNA from 1 species
UGCAAAGCAGGCAGGAAGUAGGUUUCCAGCGAUGGCCCAGGGGUCCCCAGAACCUGGUGCAUCUCACUGUGGUCUGUUCCGUGCGUGCGCCCCAGACGCCUCUCUCAUCACCAUGUGGCUCUUCACAGAGCUCCCAGAUGCUGCCCAGCUGCUGGGCACUCUUUCUCGGGAGCCUCAGCCGCAUGCACCAGCUAGGGCCCCCAGCAGUGAUUCUGCCUCUCUCCUGUUCCUACACACCUGAAUGCUGCAUCCUUAGAUUUCUUCCCCAUCCUGCUCUUCCAAUGCAGCCAGGCACUCAGGAAAGGAGAAACCGAGACGUGUCGAUCGAUGCUGGAGAGCCACACUGUAACCAGAGAAAGGACAGGAGGCCACCAAGCAGUCGCUGACCUGGACCAGGGACGCUCCAGAAGUCACCCAGGAGUGGAAAAAUAUCGACGGUAACCUGGGCAUCGUGGAGCAGAACAGAAGGGAGAUAUGUUCAAGCCGGGUGGCAAGGGUAAGAGCAGUCUUUGCAAGGGAAGCCUCAGUGAUGGCGUGCCCCUGACAGUCAGGUUGGACGCGGUCGCUAAGGUGGCCAGGACCCCGGAGUCAUUCACAUGCGGGCUGCAGCGUGGGCCGGCUUCAAGUGCACACACGUUACGAGCUCUAAAGUCACAGCAAAUUUGAUUCUGUUUCUGCUCCCACCUGGUUAUUUUUUAAAGCAGGAACGCUGAGACCAGAGUGAUUGCUUCAAAAUCUGGGUCACCUGGGGACGAUGUCACUCCUGCCCGCCUCCACGGCCGCCGUCAGGACCCUCGCCCUGGGCGGGUGCUCAGGAAGCAUCUGCGGUGCCGGAGGCGAAGGCAGAGUCGGGACCGGCGGCGAGAGGAGACAUGGGUGAACAGGCCCAUGGGAUGAGGCAGGGGCCAGUCAGGAGCAGCCAGGCUACCCUGAAACAAACAGCCCCACACGUCAGAGGACCAAGACAAGGUUAUUUCUCAUUCCUGCUGCCUCCUCAAGGGUGUGAGGUGUACACUAAAACAUACAAAAAUAAACACAAACAAUGACAGAAAAAUUUUACACUCUCAGGCUUUAUAAAGUCAGCAGCCG